rnacentral:rRNA from 1 species
GGAAUAUUGGACAAUGGCCGAAAGGCUGAUCCAGCCAUCCCGCGUGCAGGUAGACGGUCCUCUGGAUUGUAAACUGCUUUUCUCUGGGAAGAAACCCCACGAUUUUUCGAGGGCUGACGGUAACAGAGGAAUAAGCACCGGCUAACUCCGUGCCAGCAGCCGCGGUAAUACGGAGGGUGCAAGCGUUAUCCGGAUUCACUGGGUUUAAAGGGUGCGCAGGCGGAUUUGUAAGUCAGUGGUGAAAGCCCCGGGCUCAACCUGGGAACUGCCAUUGAUACUGCAAGUCUUGAGUAUAGUUGAGGUGGGCGGAAUACAUCAUGUAGCGGUGAAAUGCUUAGAUAUGAUGUAGAACACCGAUUGCGAAGGCAGCUCGCUAAACUAUAACUGACGCUCAGGCACGAAAGCGUGGGGAUCAAAC